rnacentral:rRNA from 1 species
GACGUAGGGUCCAAGCGUUGUCCGGAUUUACUGGGCGUAAAGAGCGCGUAGGCGGCUCGUUAAGUGUGAGGUGAAAUCUCUAGGGCUCAACCCAGAAACUGCUUCGCAUACUGGCGAGCUGGAGUGACGAAGAGGUUUGUGGAAUUCCUGGUGUAGCGGUGAAAUGCGUUGAUAUCAGGAGGAACACCGAUGGCGAAGGCAGCAAACUGGUCGUCAACUGACGCUGAGGCGCGAAAGCUGGGGGAGCAAACGGG